rnacentral:lncRNA from 1 species
AUGGUGACAUGGGAUAAGUGAAACAGAGGCCACUCCCAUGGUUCAAGCUUUGACUACAACCAGAAUUCAGAGGCAGGCAGAAGGAUUCCAGUGCUGGAGAGACCUGUGCACACCGAUAUGAGGCAAGGCAGCGAGUGGACCAGAUCCUGGAGACACGGGAUAUGAUUGGUCGCUGCUUUGUGCUCAGCCAGGACCUGGCCAUCCGGGAUGAGUUGGAUGGUGGGGAAUGGAAGUUCUGUGAGGGACGCCCCCAAGGCCAUGAACAAUUUGGGUUCUGCCAGCAGGGCACAGCUGCCGCCUUCUCC